CCAGAGCCUGAAUCAGUGUGUGUGUUAGUGGAAGCGUCUGGAAAGGCGCGCGAUACAGGGUGACAGCCCCGUACACAAAAAUGCACAUGCUGUGAGCUCGAUGAGUAGGGCGGGACACGUGGUAUCCUGUCUGAAUAUGGGGGGACCAUCCUCCAAGGCUAAAUACUCCUGACUGACCGAUAGUGAACCAGUACCGUGAGGGAAAGGCGAAAAGAACCCCGGCGAGGGGAGUGAAAAAGAACCUGAAACCGUGUACGUACAAGCAGUGGGAGCACGCUUAGGCGUGUGACUGCGUACCUUUUGUAUAAUGGGUCAGCGACUUAUAUUCUGUAGCAAGGUUAACCGAAUAGGGGAGCCGAAGGGAAACCGAGUCUUAACUGGGCGUUAAGUUGCAGGGUAUAGACCCGAAACCCGGUGAUCUAGCCAUGGGCAGGUUGAAGGUUGGGUAACACUAACUGGAGGACCGAACCGACUAAUGUUGAAAAAUUAGCGGAUGACUUGUGGCUGGGGGUGAAAGGCCAAUCAAACCGGGAGAUAGCUGGUUCUCCCCGAAAGCUAUUUAGGUAGCGCCUCGUGAAUUCAUCUCCGGGGGUAGAGCACUGUUUCGGCAAGGGGGUCAUCCCGACUUACCAACCCGAUGCAAACUGCGAAUACCGGAGAAUGUUAUCACGGGAGACACACGGCGGGUGCUAACGUCCGUCGUGAAGAGGGAAACAACCCAGACCGCCAGCUAAGGUCCCAAAGUCAUGGUUAAGUGGGAAACGAUGUGGGAAGGCCCAGACAGCCAGGAUGUUGGCUUAGAAGCAGCCAUCAUUUAAAGAAAGCGUAAUAGCUCACUGGUCGAGUCGGCCUGCGCGGAAGAUGUAACGGGGCUAAACCAUGCACCGAAGCUGCGGCAGCGACGCUUAUGCGUUGUUGGGUAGGGGAGCGUUCUGUAAGCCUGUGAAGGUGUGCUGUGAGGCAUGCUGGAGGUAUCAGAAGUGCGAAUGCUGACAUAAGUAACGAUAAAGCGGGUGAAAAGCCCGCUCGCCGGAAGACCAAGGGUUCCUGUCCAACGUUAAUCGGGGCAGGGUGAGUCGACCCCUAAGGCGAGGCCGAAAGGCGUAGUCGAUGGGAAACAGGUUAAUAUUCCUGUACUUGGUGUUACUGCGAAGGGGGGACGGAGAAGGCUAUGUUGGCCGGGCGACGGUUGUCCCGGUUUAAGCGUGUAGGCUGGUUUUCCAGGCAAAUCCGGAAAAUCAAGGCUGAGGCGUGAUGACGAGGCACUACGGUGCUGAAGCAACAAAUGCCCUGCUUCCAGGAAAAGCCUCUAAGCAUCAGGUAACAUCAAAUCGUACCCCAAACCGACACAGGUGGUCAGGUAGAGAAUACCAAGGCGCUUGAGAGAACUCGGGUGAAGGAACUAGGCAAAAUGGUGCCGUAACUUCGGGAGAAGGCACGCUGAUAUGUAGGUGAAGCGACUUGCUCGUGGAGCUGAAAUCAGUCGAAGAUACCAGCUGGCUGCAACUGUUUAUUAAAAACACAGCACUGUGCAAACACGAAAGUGGACGUAUACGGUGUGACGCCUGCCCGGUGCCGGAAGGUUAAUUGAUGGGGUCAGCGCAAGCGAAGCUCUUGAUCGAAGCCCCGGUAAACGGCGGCCGUAACUAUAACGGUCCUAAGGUAGCGAAAUUCCUUGUCGGGUAAGUUCCGACCUGCACGAAUGGCGUAAUGAUGGCCAGGCUGUCUCCACCCGAGACUCAGUGAAAUUGAACUCGCUGUGAAGAUGCAGUGUACCCGCGGCAAGACGGAAAGACCCCGUGAACCUUUACUAUAGCUUGACACUGAACAUUGAGCCUUGAUGUGUAGGAUAGGUGGGAGGCUUUGAAGUGUGGACGCCAGUCUGCAUGGAGCCGACCUUGAAAUACCACCCUUUAAUGUUUGAUGUUCUAACGUUGACCCGUAAUCCGGGUUGCGGACAGUGUCUGGUGGGUAGUUUGACUGGGGCGGUCUCCUCCUAAAGAGUAACGGAGGAGCACGAAGGUUGGCUAAUCCUGGUCGGACAUCAGGAGGUUAGUGCAAUGGCAUAAGCCAGCUUGACUGCGAGCGUGACGGCGCGAGCAGGUGCGAAAGCAGGUCAUAGUGAUCCGGUGGUUCUGAAUGGAAGGGCCAUCGCUCAACGGAUAAAAGGUACUCCGGGGAUAACAGGCUGAUACCGCCCAAGAGUUCAUAUCGACGGCGGUGUUUGGCACCUCGAUGUCGGCUCAUCACAUCCUGGGGCUGAAGUAGGUCCCAAGGGUAUGGCUGUUCGCCAUUUAAAGUGGUACGCGAGCUGGGUUUAGAACGUCGUGAGACAGUUCGGUCCCUAUCUGCCGUGGGCGCUGGAGAACUGAGGGGGGCUGCUCCUAGUACGAGAGGACCGGAGUGGACGCAUCACUGGUGUUCGGGUUGUCAUGCCAAUGGCACUGCCCGGUAGCUAAAUGCGGAAGAGAUAAGUGCUGAAAGCAUCUAAGCACGAAACUUGCC
rnacentral:rRNA from 1 species